UGAGGAAUCUUGCGCAAUGGGGGAAACCCUGACGCAGCAACGCCGCGUGAGUGAGGAAGGCCUUCGGGUCGUAAAGCUCUGUCAGAUGGGAAGAAAUGGAUGGGGGCUAAUAUCGUCCAUCCUUGACGGUACCAUCAGAGGUAGCACCGGCUAACUCCGUGCCAGCAGCCGCGGUAAUACGGGGGGUGCAAGCGUUGUUCGGAAUCAUUGGGCGUAAAGCGCGCGCAGGCGGCUUGGUAAGUCAGAUGUGAAAUCCCUGGGCUUAUCCCAGGAAGUGCAUUUGAUACUGCCUCGCUAGAGUACGGGAGAGGAAAGUGGAAUUCCUGGUGUAGAGGUGAAAUUCGUAGAUAUCAGGAGGAACACCGGUGGCGAAGGCGACUUUCUGGCCCGAUACUGACGCUCAGGCGCGAAAGCGUGGGGAGCAAACAG
rnacentral:rRNA from 1 species